GGUGAAAAGCACCCCGGAAGGGGAGUGAAAUAGAACCUGAAACCGUGUGCUUACAAGUAGUCAGAGCCCGUUAAUGGGUGAUGGCGUGCCUUUUGUAGAAUGAACCGGCGAGUUACGAUUUGAUGCAAGGUUAAGCAGUAAAUGUGGAGCCGUAGCGAAAGCGAGUCUGAAUAGGGCGUUUAGUAUUUGGUCGUAGACCCGAAACCAGGUGAUCUACCCUUGGUCAGGUUGAAGUUCAGGUAACACUGAAUGGAGGACCGAACCGACUUACGUUGAAAAGUGAGCGGAUGAACUGAGGGUAGCGGAGAAAUUCCAAUCGAACCUGGAGAUAGCUGGUUCUCUCCGAAAUAGCUUUAGGGCUAGCCUCAAGUGAUGAUUAUUGGAGGUAGAGCACUGUUUGGACGAGGGGCCCCUCUCGGGUUACCGAAUUCAGACAAACUCCGAAUGCCAAUUAAUUUAACUUGGGAGUCAGAACAUGGGUGAUAAGGUCCGUGUUCGAAAGGGAAACAGCCCAGACCACCAGCUAAGGUCCCAAAAUAUAUGUUAAGUGGAAAAGGAUGUGGCGUUGCCCAGACAACUAGGAUGUUGGCUUAGAAGCAGCCAUCAUUUAAAGAGUGCGUAAUAGCUCACUAGUCGAGUGACACUGCGCCGAAAAUGUACCGGGGCUAAACAUAUUACCGAAGCUGUGGAUUGUCCUUUGGACAAUGGUAGGAGAGCGUUCUAAGGGCGUUGAAGCAUGAUCGUAAGGACAUGUGGAGCGCUUAGAAGUGAGAAUGCCGGUGUGAGUAGCGAAAGACGGGUGAGAAUCCCGUCCACCGAUUGACUAAGGUUUCCAGAGGAAGGCUCGUCCGCUCUGGGUUAGUCGGGUCCUAAGCUGAGGCCGACAGGCGUAGGCGAUGGAUAACAGGUUGAUAUUCCUGUACCACCUAUAAUCGUUUUAAUCGAUGGGGGGACGCAGUAGGAUAGGCGAAGCGUGCGAUUGGAUUGCACGUCUAAGCAGUAAGGCUGAGUAUUAGGCAAAUCCGGUACUCAUUAAGGCUGAGCUGUGAUGGGGAGAAGACAUUGUGUCUUCGAGUCGUUGAUUUCACACUGCCGAGAAAAGCCUCUAGAUAGAAAAUAGGUGCCCGUACCGCAAACCGACACAGGUAGUCAAGAUGAGAAUUCUAAGGUGAGCGAGCGAACUCUCGUUAAGGAACUCGGCAAAAUGACCCCGUAACUUCGGGAGAAGGGGUGCUCUUUAGGGUUAACGCCCAGAAGAGCCGCAGUGAAUAGGCCCAAGCGACUGUUUAUCAAAAACACAGGUCUCUGCUAAACCGUAAGGUGAUGUAUAGGGGCUGACGCCUGCCCGGUGCUGGAAGGUUAAGAGGAGUGGUUAGCUUCUGCGAAGCUACGAAUCGAAGCCCCAGUAAACGGCGGCCGUAACUAUAACGGUCCUAAGGUAGCGAAAUUCCUUGUCGGGUAAGUUCCGACCCGCACGAAAGGCGUAACGAUUUGGGCACUGUCUCAACGAGAGACUCGGUGAAAUCAUAGUACCUGUGAAGAUGCAGGUUACCCGCGACAGGACGGAAAGACCCCGUGGAGCUUUACUGUAGCCUGAUAUUGAAAUUCGGCACAGCUUGUACAGGAUAGGUAGGAGCCUUUGAAACGUGAGCGCUAGCUUACGUGGAGGCGCUGGUGGGAUACUACCCUAGCUGUGUUGGCUUUCUAACCCGCACCACUUAUCGUGGUGGGAGACAGUGUCAGGCGGGCAGUUUGACUGGGGCGGUCGCCUCCUAAAAGGUAACGGAGGCGCUCAAAGGUUCCCUCAGAAUGGUUGGAAAUCAUUCAUAGAGUGUAAAGGCAUAAGGGAGCUUGACUGCGAGACCUACAAGUCGAGCAGGGUCGAAAGACGGACUUAGUGAUCCGGUGGUUCCGCAUGGAAGGGCCAUCGCUCAACGGAUAAAAGCUACCCCGGGGAUAACAGGCUUAUCUCCCCCAAGAGUUCACAUCGACGGGGAGGUUUGGCACCUCGAUGUCGGCUCAUCGCAUCCUGGGGCUGUAGUCGGUCCCAAGGGUUGGGCUGUUCGCCCAUUAAAGCGGUACGCGAGCUGGGUUCAGAACGUCGUGAGACAGUUCGGUCCCUAUCCGUCGUGGGCGUAGGAAAUUUGAGAGGAGCUGUCCUUAGUACGAGAGGACCGGGAUGGACAUACCUCUGGUGUACCAGUUGUCGUGCCAAC
rnacentral:rRNA from 1 species